GGGAGCAGGGGAUGAUAAGGUUCUUUGUUCUUACCUUCCUUGUUUCUCUUUCUUUUAGUACAGUGAUGGCGAACCUAUGACACGCGUGUCAGCACUGACACGCGUAGCCAUUUCUGAUGACACGCGGCUGCUGAGGUGGCCGCAUGCCGAGGAUGAAACAUUUGCUGCUCCUGAGGAUGAAACAUUUGCGAAAUAAUGUUUUUUCCUCCAAGUGACACACUACCCCAGUUAUGCUCAGUUUUUUGGUGAAGUUUGACACACCAAGCUCAAAAGGCAGCGCCACAUGGAGGGCAUGAGGCAGGUUUGUGCACCAGGGCACCAAUCCCAAAGGUGGUCCGAGGAUCUCCUUCAAGGAGAAUAUGGAAGAAGAGAGAAAAAAAGAUCCUGGUGGUUGACAUGUGGGAAGCAAAGCCACGAGUUCCGUAGGAGGAUCUAUAUAUAGCUCUGCGAUCAACAGCUUUGCUUCCUUGCCUCCUUAGCAGCUGGAGACAGGCUCUUGCUUCCAGAUGUGGGAUGGAGAAGGUGCAUGCAGGCAAACUUACACAUGCCUGGUGUGCAGCAAGAGGCUCCAUAAACAUUUCCCCAAUAUGCUUCUCCUGAAGACAAUCUCAUGUUUAUUAGCAUAAGCUCUGGAAAUUGGGACCAGCAAAUUGAAGAGAGUCACUUAUGAGCUGAGUGACAGACCAAGAAUGCAUGGAAACCCACCCAGCUCCAGCUUGAUUCAUUUUUCUAGACAAGAAACAAAAAAACUGACCACUGAAGACUGAAGGGCAUCAAUACUGACCACAGUAUGGAUGAUGGUGAUAACAGUGGCUAGCCUCUUCAUAUAGAAGUUUCUGGCUACCCUACUGCUUUCCUACUGUUAUAUAAUAAAGAUUUUGGCUGGUUUUUGUUGCCAGUUCCUGAA